GUAAACAUAGUGAGACUUUUGAAACAUUGAAAUGCGGGGAAAACGCGGAUUUCAGUCAGCUAAAGCGAUCCAGCGUUACAUCAAGGUUUUUUGACCCACAGAAGACGAUGGAAAGCUGCCUCACCAAGACACCAGACGCUGGAUCAUCUAUAUUUGCAAUCGCAGACGCAAGACAUGUGUUCAGGUUUUGAACAUGAUGUCUCCAGCAAGGAUAUGUUUGAUGAUGGUUACCAUGGGAACAAACUCAGACCUAUGUCAAAAAUGUCAUUUUCUGAUAGAAUAGACAUAAUGCUAUCCAUUUCACUUGAUUUUAGAAUUUUUAAAUUAUUCUGAUGUCAGCCAUACACUUCCGGGUUCUCUACAGGUUUUAAAUAUGAUGUCUCCAGCAAGGAUAUGUUUGAUGAUGGUUACCAUGGUAACGAUCUCACAGACCUAUGUCAAAAAUGUCUUUUUCUGAUAGAAUAGACAUAAUGCUAUCCAUUUCACUUAAUUUUAGAAUUUUUUAAUUAUUCUGAUGUCAGCCAUACACUUCCGGGUUCUCUACAGGUUUUAAAUAUGAUGUAUCCAGCAAGGAUAUGUUUGAUGAUGGUUACCAUGGGAACGAUCUCACAGACCUAUGUCAAAAAUGUCAUUUUCUGAUAGAAUAGACAUAAUGCUAUCCAUUUCACUCAAUUUUAGAAUUUUUUAAUUAUUCUCAUGUCAGUCAUACCUUUCCAUUUUUUGUUUACAGGUUUUGAACAUGAUGUCUCCAGCAAGGAUAUGUUUGAUGACGGUUACCAUGGAAACGAACUCACGGACCUAUGUCAAAAAUGUCUUUUUCUGAUAAAAUAAAUAUAAUGCUAUCCAUUUCA